rnacentral:rRNA from 1 species
AGCGUAGGCGGACAUUUAAGUCAGGGGUGAAAUCCCGGGGCUCAACCUCGGAAUUGCCUUUGAUACUGGGUGUCUUGAGUAUGAGAGAGGUGUGUGGAACUCCGAGUGUAGAGGUGAAAUUCGUAGAUAUUCGGAAGAACACCAGUGGCGAAGGCGACACACUGGCUCAUUACUGACGCUCAUAUGCGAAAGCGUGGGGAUCAAACAGGAUUAGAUCCCCCCGUA